AUGGCUCGUGUAGUUUUGGGAUCUAUUGAUAAAACUGCAUGUUGGUAAAACACCUAGCUUUGUCAAAAAAAGUUCUGGUGGCUGGCCAUCAGCUAGUGCAACGUAAUUUGUCAUCAAUUCAUCAGCAGGAGAUUGUUGUGAUCCCAUGAGCACCAUAUCAUGCCCUGCAUAUGACCAAGAACCACAAGGUACACAGCUUGGAGAGCAGAAGGGUUUCUGCAGACACUGCUCUGCGCUGCAAUGUGAUGCAACCUCAGCACAAGAGCAAGACCUCAGUUCCUGGAUAUCUGCUUGCAGAUAAGAAGCUCCAGACUGGCCACUCUGCUUCCCAAGGACAGGAAAUAUAAGUACCUCUAAGAAUAUGUAUCUGUCUAGAUGUGCUAGUCUCUCUCCAUUCCUUGAAAAAAACCAAACGAAAAAAUGAAAAGGCGGCAUUUUGUGAGCUUUUUUGGUCUUCUUUUAAGGUGUAGCCUCAGUAUCUGGCCUGGGAGGAAGGACAAUCCAUCUCAGUAUUUUAAUUUCUCUUUCCCUUCCUUUCCAGUUCCUUCUGACUUCCUCCAGACUCAGGUCUUUCACUUCAUACCUGUACUUCCUUCCUAUUAAAAACCUGUUGAAACC